UGGCGAACGGGUGAGUAACACGUGGGUAACCUGCCCAUCAGAAGGGGAUAACACUUGGAAACAGGUGCUAAUACCGUAUAACACUAUUUUCCGCAUGGAAGAAAGUUGAAAGGCGCUUUUGCGUCACUGAUGGAUGGACCCGCGGUGCAUUAGCUAGUUGGUGAGGUAACGGCUCACCAAGGCAACGAUGCAUAGCCGACCUGAGAGGGUGAUCGGCCACACUGGGACUGAGACACGGCCCAGACUCCUACGGGAGGCAGCAGUAGGGAAUCUUCGGCAAUGGACGAAAGUCUGACCGAGCAAACGCCGCGUGAGUGAAGAAAGGUUUUUCGGAUUCGUAAAAACUU
rnacentral:rRNA from 1 species